UCGAGCGUCAUUACAACCCUCAAGCAUAGCUUGGUCUUGGGCUCCGCUGCUUACGCAGCGGGCCUUAAAAUCAGUGGCGGUGCGUCGAGGCCCUGAGCGUAGUAAAUAUCCUCGCUAUAGGGACUCGGUGGAUGCCUGCCAUCAACCCCCAACUUUCUAAGUUUGACCUCGGAUCAGGUAGGGAUACCCGCUGAACUUAA
rnacentral:misc_RNA from 1 species